rnacentral:lncRNA from 1 species
GUCUGGUAGUCUAUUCCAAUCAGGUAUUGUUCUUACAAAGAAUGACUGUUUGUAUUGUUCUGAUUUGCUAGGUGGAAUUUUGAAGCAACGGCUGUUGUUUUGAGCAAAUUUGUCUACAAUGUUUAUUGUUUUAAAGUCACUAAAUUGUUUUGGUUUAACUUGUCGUUUUGGUCUCUCUUUGACUAAUACUGAGUCUUGUGGUAUAGCUGGUACCAACUCUCCGCCCACCUUGUAGAGAAAAGUAAGUCUACUGUGACGACGUCUGUUUUCC